GUAGGGGGCAAGCGUUAUCCGGAUUUACUGGGUGUAAAGGGAGCGUAGACGGUGAUGCAAGUCAGAAGUGAAAGCCCGGGGCUCAACUCCGGGACUGCUUUGGAAACUGUAUGGCUGGAGUGCAGGAGAGGUAAGUGGAAUUCCUAGUGUAGCGGUGAAAUGCGUAGAUAUUAGGAGGAACACCAGUGGCGAAGGCGGCUUACUGGACUGUAACUGACGUUGAGGCUCGAAAGCGUGGGGAGCAA
rnacentral:rRNA from 1 species